CAUGGGCACCAGGCUGCUCUGCUGGGCAGCGCUCUGUCUCCUGGGGGCAGAACACACGGACGCUGGAGUCUCCCAGUCCCCCAGGCACAGGGUCACAGGGACGGGACAGAAUGUCACUCUCACGUGUGACCCAGAGUCUGGUCAUACUACUCUCUAUUGGUACCGACAGAGCCAAGGGCAAGGCCCACAGUUGAUGAUGUACUUCCAAGGCCCAGUGGAGGCAGGAGUCACACAGACGCCAAGACACCUGAUCAAAGCAAGAGGGCAGCAAGUGUCGUUGAGAUGUAUCCCUCACUCUGGACACUCCAGUGUGUCCUGGUACCAACAGGCCCCGGGUCAGGGCCUCCAGUUACUCUUCACGAUUUAUGAGUAUGUGCAGAACGCAAAAGGAAACUUCCCUGACAGAUUCUCAGCACUCCAGUUCCAGAACUACGACUCCGAGCUGAAUGUGAGCGCCUUGGACCUGGGGGACUCAGCUGUGUACCUCUGUGCCAGCAGCUUGGCACAGCCCCGCGGAGUCCCCAGCGCUCUGUGCACAAACCACCUGCCUGAGCUCUGA